AUCUCUCUCUUAUGCCCUCUUGCCUUCUGCCUUCUGCCUUCUGCUCGUGGGAUGAUGCAGCAAGAAGGCCCCCAAAAAUCAUGAGACCCUCAGCCUUGGACUUCCCAGCCCUCAGAGCUAUGUUUGGAGGAGACCGAGAGUGUGCUGUCGGCACGCAUCGUCCGUGAAGCAAUGGGGCAGAGUUCAUCCCUUACUUCAACCUAUGCAUCGCUGUUUUGUGCAUCGUCAUAAAAACAACACAUUCCAAAUGCACUGUCAUGGGCUUGGAAGGAAAAUAAUAAAGAAAACAAACCCCAAAUGAAAUUGCACAAUGUCUAGAGUGUCUUCAGUGCGUUUUCUUCUGCCUUAAAAAACCAACCAAACAAAAGCGACCUACUUGAGACCAUACAAUGAGGCAGACACUGGAUGUUUAGCUCCCAGCCCCUGACCCCCCUGCCGGCCUGGCAAGGUGAAUCUUGGGGAUAUACAGACCUCCCAGCUGCCCUGGUUGCUGGGUGCAGGUGCAGGACCCAGACUCAGCCAACAGCACACACAGCCAGCUCUAAAGUGGAAGCUGGUGGCACAAGGCAAAAGGCCAGCAUCCUUGGCUUCGGAGGUGGCUUCAUCCCCUCUUCAGGAGCAGUGGGUCAGUGGCACUGGGCCCGUGUCCAGUCCUGACCUGUGCUGGCCCUGGAGCUGCAGUAUUGCUGCCCCCCAGGCCCCUGGCUGGGCUCCUGGUCCUGCUGCUGCUCGGCCUCUCCCUC
rnacentral:lncRNA from 1 species